rnacentral:lncRNA from 1 species
AGACUAUUGCGCGGGACAUCUGGUGCUGAAACCCGGGAACUUGUUAACAUCGCCAGCUCCUCGGAGACCCCUUGGCUACAAGGCGGAUUCAGAACUGCAGGGUGGUAAAUUCGGAGAGGAUGAAGAGAAUCCCCUGUGGAUACCGGAAAGACUCACACAAAGAGCCCCUUCAGACCCUCAAAAGUCGGAACUCCACCCUCUCCCCGGGAGUUGAGAGCCGCUAUUAUCCAAAUUAACUCCUGUCCUUGAUGGAGAGAUUGUAAUCAUGGAUCACUUAAUGGGUGGGGAUGGGAUUGUUUGGUGCAGCCGUUUGCUGCGGAUUGAUGUUGCUUCUCUGGCUGGUCUGUAAGCUCAGGGCUCAAAUGAAGAGAGACAAGGUGGUUAUCGCCCAAGCGCUUGUAGCUUUGGAACAAUGGGCUUCUACUGACAUUUGGUUAACAAUGCUUAAGCAAUAGGCCGCCGGACAGACAGCUCUUGCACACCCGGAGCCUAGGCUCAUUGCACAGGGUAGAGUGUCUGGUUUGAUCAGCCCAUGAGGGAUGUUGAGCAAGGCAUCGCACAGAGAGUUGCCCAGUAUGCAGGCUUCUCUGGGAGGCAUGUUGUCCUGCAUAAGGGUUGCCUGCCCUAGUCUCCCUUUCCCAGAAAAACGGCAGAGGACAGGUCGAGAGCGCUUCGGGUCAAGCUAACAGCCUGAUGGCGACUCUUGUACACAGUCUUAAUGUUUGAUUGGGAAGGUACAACCUCUGCCUCUAUCCCUCAACAUAUGGGUGACCUAUUUGCUUGUAAAAAUAUAAAGCCUUAUCAUUAAUUAAUAAAAAAGGGGGAGAUGUAGGUAGCCUUCCCUGCAUUCUCCAUUACAAUGAUGGUGCCUGCAGGCACUGAAUGUAAAUUAUUGCGCAGGCGCUGGGUAAUUUUCCAUUUCCUUGAUCUCUGCCUAUUCCGUGGCAUCAUAUGGCCUGAGGAGCUGAAGCCAAUCAUAGGGUGACACGUCCCAGGCGGGGCUGCCAGCCUUUAUUAGGGGACGGGAUUCUUGGCUCGGG